rnacentral:rRNA from 1 species
CACGGGAGUAGCAAUACAACGUGGUGGCGGCCGGCGCACGGGUGAGUAACGCGUAUGCAACCUACCUAUCAGGAGGGGAAUAACCCGGCGAAAGUCGGACUAAUACCGCAUAAAACAGGGGCACCGCAUGGUGACAUUUGUUAAAGAAAUUCGCUGAUAGAUGGGCAUGCGUUCCAUUAGGUAGUUGGUGAGGUAACGGCUCACCAAGCCGACGAUGGAUAGGGGAACUGAGAGGUUGGUCCCCCACACUGGUACUGAGACACGGACCAGACUCCUACGGGAGGCAGCAGUGAGGAAUAUUGGUCAAUGGGCGAGAGCCUGAACCAGCCAAGUCGCGUGAAGGAAGAAGGAUCUAUGGUUCGUAAACUUCUUUUGCAGGGGAAUAAAGUGCAGGACGUGUCCUGUUUUGUAUGUACCCUGAGAAUAAGGAUCGGCCAACUCCGUGCCAGCCGCCGC